rnacentral:rRNA from 1 species
UAGGGAAUUUUGCGCAAUGGGCGAAAGCCUGACGCAGCAACACCGCGUGAGUGAUGAAGCAUCUUGGUGUGUAAAACUCUGUCAGAGGGGACGAAUUCUGACGGUACCCUCAAAGGAAGCAUCGGCUAACUACGUGCCAGCAGCCGCGGUAAGACGUAGGAUGCGAGCGUUGUCCGGAAUUAUUGGGCGUAAAGCGUUCGUAGGCGGCAUGUCAAGUCUGGUGUUAAAGCCCGGAGCUCAACUCCGGUUCGGCACUGGAUACUGGCAAGCUAGAGUACAGAAGAGGUAAAGGGAAUUCCCAGUGUAGCGGUGAAAUGCGUAGAUAUUGGGAGGAACACCAGUGGCGUAAGCGCUUUACUGGUCUGUCACUGACGCUGAGGAACGAAAGCCAGGGGAGCAA